CACGUUCUUCUCUGCUCGAUCUCGUCGAACCACGAAUCCCGAACUUUAGACAAAAAUAAGCGAGGUCCCUGUGCAUCGCUUAUCAAGUACUCGGUCGAAGACUUCAAUCGAAGAUCGUCGUCAUUCCGUGCGUCAUCAAGGAAUCCUAAGGAUCGGAUGAAGACGAAGCUAGCAGCGCGAUAUUCCCCAAGCGCUCGACAAAUUGUCUGGAUCGGAAAAUCGCUACCGAUCUCGUGGAUUCGUGUCAGCUGUGGAAACGGUAAGCUGAUAAAUUAUUUAGAAUAGUUCGAUCGAUGAAUAAAUUAAUGUGCUAGUGCGAUGCUCAUUAAGGUGCUCGAUAAAUUGCGUAAGUCAUGAAACUCUCGUCGACUUCGCAGUUCUUGCGAUUAUCGAGCCAGGUUCAGCUAUAGCGAGUUAUUUCGCUAUUCCGGCCAAUUAGCGGAAUUAGUGUACCGAAUAGAAUAUUAAUAGGCCUGUGUGAUGAGGAAAUAGUUUAAUCACUUAUACAUAUGUGUGUAUAUAUUUACGAUAAAGAAAUAUUUAAAUAAUUGUUGAUAUGAAAAUCAUGUGAGGAGUAAAAUAAAAUUUAAAAUAGUUCUUUAUGAGCGAUGUAGAAUAAUUCAUAAAACGAGGGAUAAGUUUAGAAUUCAAUUAAUUAACUGAUAAGUUGUGGUUAGGCUAAUUGUAUUAAAGGUGUAUAAUUUGUUGUUUUGUGAUGUUCGCGUUAGGUUCGGUUAAUCUAGCGAAGCGUAAUUAUUGCGCAUAGUCAUAUAUUAAUAACUAGUGUUUCCGUACAAAAUUAUACAACGCCUCGCCGCUAGGUGUUUAAUUCACCGUCGUGUAGCCUUAUUUAGGUUUGUGAUAUUCUUGUUUAUAUGCAUUCAUGUGCAUUAUGCAAAUCAUUUAGGUACGUUGAUUAACCACGAGAUGCGGAGAACUUGAGUCAAGUCGACCCCAAGCGUGGACUACUCCGCAUGGUGAGGCUGAUGGACCAACCUGAAGAUGGUUAAAUCAAGAGAAUGUUUGGUCGAGGGAUACUCAUCAAGUGGACAACGUCUAACAACACUAACCUAGUGUUAUUCCAGGCAAGCCCCGGUGCAUGCAACCCCUUUCCUUGUGUUUUUAAAUACUUUUUGCACACUUAAGUCUAGUGAAAUGUGCAUUAGGUUCAUAGGAAUUGCUUGAAACCCUUUGAUGCAUUGCUUUCCUUGAUAUCCAUACCUUUAUAGAUACUUCUGGUGAAGUAUCAAAAUAUGAUUUACAAAAAUGCUUAGCCCUGCUUAGAUCUUGUGGAUAGAGGUUGUCCUUAGCCUAGCUCGAGAAAGGAUGACUUCUACCUGCAAGAAUAUUUUCAUUUGGAGCAAUGAUGGGAUCUUACUGCAAAGUUCCCUGUGAUGCUCUUUUCAUCCUAGGAACAGAAACAAUCCUAAGGAUGGAAGUACUUAAAUCGAGACUUGGGCUAGGAACAGGUGCUCCGCCCGGGUCAAUUAAGGAUUGGAUGCGUAUGUAGGCCUGUUGAUCAAGGACUAUCUUAUCUAGCCACAUGCCCUGAGAAUGGGACAUGGUAAGCUUGAACCCGGCUAUUCCAUACAUGAAAAGACAAUCGCGCACUGGGCGUGGAGAGAUGGCGAGAGUGGCACGUACCCUCCUGGCAACGGAUCGCCUAAAAGGGGUGGUGUACUCUCGGGUGGCGCGGACCUGUUCAUGCAGUGGAGGAUCCGUGGGAAUAGUAGACAUCAAGGUUUACAAGAAACAUAUGUCGUGUGGUUAGAAAUCCUCAGCUGAGUAAAUCGAUUCGGAUCGCCGUUAUAUCCCCGGAGAGUGGAGACUUGAGCUCCGACCUACAACCUAAGUCAAGAUGUGAACACUAAAAUGAUGUUGUAUUGAUGAGAUGAUGAAAUUAGACUAGAUGCAAACAGAGUCUAUUAAAUAUUUAAUCUGGCGUUAAAAUAUUAAAAGUAAGGACUCACUUUAGUAAGCUAUUUCUGCAAAAGUAUCUAAGUUGAUUCUUGCUAAAGCCUCUCCUUGAUUCCCAAAUCCAGCAUAUCCUUGAGAGUCUUUUCUUUAGUCGGGUAAGUCUUGCUGAGUAAUUCCAUACUCAGGGUUUUAUUCCCUGUUGUUUUUCAGGUUAUAGUUUUGUGCUGUUGUGAUGGUGUUAAGUGCCGGUGGGCUCGGCCUUCUUAUAUAAGUAUACCCCUUCUAUACUUCUUAUUGAGGAUGGUCGUUUGAGCUAGCAUAUAUUUCAAACAUAUACUUUUGUAAUCACUCCGAUAAAAUAAUGUAAAAUUUUUGUAACUUGUAAAAUUUGGUAACAAGAUUUCCGCUGCAAAAAUAUUGGUGUGUGUGAUUUGUGUUUACUUAAUCCCGCGAUUCUGGUUGUAAGUGGUUUAUCCGAUGUCCUUGGGGCAAUCGGACGGAUCCUGUUAAGUUAUUUAGUGCACAUGCAUAGCUGUCUGAGAUCUUUGAGACAAAGACAGGUGCAUGUGGGCCCAAUAACUUGGGAGGUUCUGCCACAGCUGGUAUCGGAGCUGGAUUAAGUAUAUACGGUCACAUACGUAUUUUCAAAACAAAAGUUUUGGUUUUGAAAAACCUAUUUUCAACUAAACACAUUGUUGGGCUUUGAAAAAACAGUUUUGAAAAACUAUAAUGCUAGCGACAUCCUCUGUUAAGCCCUAAACUAAGGACUAUCAGGUGGCUUAGUUGAAAACCAUAACCCAUAAUCGGGUGGGUAUUGCAUACAUGUGUAUUGUUAUUUUUAAGGCCAUUCAGUUUUGAAUGGAAUCGACGCUCAAGGUAAUGUGAGAUGUGAGAGCAUGACCGAACAAACGUCGGUCUAGGGAAGUGCUUAAUUGUAGCGCUUGAUUAUAUACAUGUUACACAUAUGUAUAUAUGAAGACUGCGAUGUGGAGUAUUUACUUUUCUGGGAAUUAAGUAUCCCAUGGAUGUAUAUGGGUAUACAGACCUAGGAAUACUGAGAAGUGUAAUGUACUUGUAACGACGCACCUACACUCAGGUAAGAAGGUGAGUUACCAUAAUGAGUUGCCCUAUGGUUAAAGUGUGGCAACGGCGCCUAUGCGUGGCUCGGCGCUUAAUGAUGAGCUGGCCUCCGUAUAGCAAUAUAUGGAGUAUAACCUGUGAUAAACUGUCAUGUGUGACUUGCAUCAUUGGAAAAUUGGGCUGCAAUGGAUUUUCUGCAGGUACACUAACCUCGAAAACGUAUGUGUAGCUGACGACUAGCAAAAUACCGUGAGAGUCGUUAGUAUGCCACCGAUAUAGAACGUUAUCGCCACAGUACGUUGGCAAAACUCGUGAGGACGUAUAGGACGAGCAUGCAUCCUGAUUGUUGCAUCAUGUUUGUCACCUAUACACCCAAAAUGCUUCUCUCAUCUUUAUUCAGCAACCAUUGAUUGUAGAUUAUGUGGUGUAAUGCUGUAUUAUGGACUUCGAUGAAAUAGGUGUCCUCCAUUCUUUAGGUGACCUCUUAGGGUGCCUUAUGUGUUUGCUUUGGUGCUUGAUGUACUGAUAGGAGGAUAGUGACUUGUUUGCCUAAAUCUAAAAUUAGGCCAUGUUCUUAGUUGGUGAACUGAGACCCAAAUUUGAAUUUACCAUUAUCACCCCAUGACCAAACACAUAUAAAUGAAUGUUUAGAUAAUUUCUUUGUUGGACAUAAAAUGUACCAAGCUUAAACCAAGGAUCUCAAACCAUGUCUCCUUCUAGAACCGUUCCCUUGUUCAGUUGAUGCAGGUUGAGGUCUCUAUUGUAUUUGGCCUCUCCUUGCGGAUUGCAUUGUUGCUUUAUCAACCCAACCUGGGAAAGUCAUGCGUGAUCAUUUUCCUUAAUUUGGUGUCGUUGAUUUCUUCAUAUCUAUUGAAGGCAUACCAACUUCAUCUUGUGAUUGUUUUCCUCUGUAUCUAAUCGGAUACUAAUCCUUGACCUUGUAAUCUCUGCGAUGGGCAUAGAAAUAUGCUUGGGGCUGAAUUAACAGUCUCCCAUCGUACUCCUUUCAUCAAGUUUAGGUUAUGGCCAUGCCUUGUUCAGUUCAUCGGGCCAUGAUCUAUUUGGAUCUCUACUUGUAAUCAUUCUUACAUGUGGAGUAUCUCUUUGUAUAUUGUCACCCUUGCCUAAUCCAUUGGUGUCGCGCGAUAUUUCUUAUCGGUUAUGUCUGGUAAUGGUGCUAUGACUAAAACUGAUGGUGCCGUGACGAAACCGAGGGCCUUCUGUGUGUGCGCACACAUGGUUGUGCUGCUCGGCACGCGCUGGUAUCACAGUCAGUAGUUGUAAUCCAUUAUGAGACUAUGUCAAUGCGUUAUCUUGGCACAAUCUAUUUUUUUCCUACGUGGGAUUUAUUAUUGGUGCCUGUUCGGUAAUGGUGUCACGAUUAAUGACUUAUGGUGCCGCAGCGAAACUGAGAGCCUCCUGUGAAUGCGCACACAAGACUGUGCUACUCGUCGGAUGCUGGUAUCAAGGUCUCUAGUCAUGAUCCAUUAUGGAACUACACUGAUGUGUGAUCUUCCGUGGACACCUUCCUUGAAACAAUUUCUAUGUUGUUUGUCGAGUGACCAAGCAACAUCUAUCAUCUCUGUUGGAUCAAACAGGCAUACCACUUCCAUUUGUGGUCUCUUUUCUUUUGAUCUUGGUAGUGACUACUUAUACAAGUUCCCUUUACAUCCUUUGUGUAAAGGUGAAGCCUUGGAGCUUUUUAGUGUCGAGAGACAACUGAUUAGCUCUCAAAAUGAAGAUUGAUUUUUCCCUGCUGUUGUGAUGCAGGAGUUUGUUCAUUCGCUCUCUUAUUUAAUCCAAGUAUUCCCUAACCAAGUGGAUAAUUCAUCUCACAUGAAGAAACGGAUGAACAACCUGACCAAAUGGAUUUCUGCCCAAGUGCAUGAUCAACUGUUAGUAUGAGUGAACUCUCAACCCUUGGCUUACCAAUGGUACUGAGAGGAUUUGCUUAAUGUCAAAAGUAGUUCAACAAGUUGGUUUUGACUAACUUGUAACUGCUCAAUGAACGAAGGCUGAGUUUAGAGAUCAUUUUAUCGAGUUCUCUAAACUCACUUUGGUUCAACCCACCCUAAAGAAAGUACUUAACAAAAUCAAAUUAAGUCGACCAGUAACCAUCUAAUUAUCUCUCUAGUUAUGCCUCGAUCGCCUCACAUGUGUUUUCCCAGCAUAUGCGAUCAAGUCGAGCCAUGCCUAGUGCUUGAUAAAAUGGACUGGUCGUAAAGUUCGUAUCUACAGAUCUCUUCACUGGUGAUUCUCUAGAAUCUAGACCAUCUUUCGUGGACUCGAAUUCUCGGGUAAGCCACAUGUUAACCGCGACAGUAUUCGACAUCCACACCCGUCUCCUGUGCUAUCAAUUUCCUGUAACCACUUGUUGGUAAACUUCUUUCUGUGUUUUACCCAAGACGGUGCAUCUGAUUCUGUUUGGGGAAAAUCACGUAUUUACCGCUCACCCAAUAGACUCGGAUAGUACAAUGUCAUCAGAAAAAGCAAACUGCACACAUGAAACCUUAUGUGUUCUUGUGGCAGGUAGCGUCUCUACUGUGGGACAUCUCUAAAUUAGCUUAAGGCGAUAUAUGAUAUGCCCACUAGAGAAACUACAUCCUGAGGCACUCACCUUUACUUGGACUGUCUUAGGGUUAUCGCUGAUAUGGAUAUGGGUUACAUACUUCUCUACCCUUAGAAGUCUUUCGCUCUGAAUCUCGUGACGAGAUUCUUUUAAGGGGGGAGGGCUGUAACACCCCAGGUGUUUAUAUUCCGCUCGACAACGAGUACGGAUUUAAGCACGUAAUAUCAGUAGAUAAAACGGAUUUUAAAUUUUAAUUAUAUUUGUUUAUCGCGAUUUUAAUAUCGCAUCUGUUCCGUCUAUCGCGAGUGCGACAUCGUUUUAUUUUUAUCUAUCCGGGCUCUUCCUAAAUUUUCGUGAUGAUCGGAACAUUGUCGUUCCGAAAAUCGGUGCGUCCGAUGAUUAUUUAAAAAUUCGUCGCUCGCGCGGAUACGAAUUCGGAAGCCCGACCCACUAGGAUGUUUUAUCCCGAGCAGAUAAAGAAGAACUCGAUGACUAAGCUUUUAGUGUAAAAUAAUUUAAUCCCCUUUUUGUUAUCCGUGACAUUGCGUCUACGGAUUUUUAAUUGAAUUGUUAUCUAGUCAAGUGUUCGAGUAGCGAACGGAAUUCGUCUGAAGUCAACUAAAUCAAACGCAGAGUAAAUUAUCGAAGCCAAAAUCAUUUUAACCUGGUCUAUUUACAUCUCGCCAUAAAUCGUAACCUACAACACAAGUUAUAAUUAUAUUUAUAUUCAUAUUUAUAUUUCUGUUUUUCUAAAAGAAAAUAAAAUAUCUUCUCCUUAUUUUUGAACCAACGUCGUGAUCACUUCCUGGCGCCUGGAGUCUUCCUGAAGUGUCGUAGCUGAAAUUCUUUUGCUUUCACGUGUAAGGCUUCUAGUUCUAUCCGGCUAUCCCAGCCAUCGCUCAUCCUUUUAUCCGAGCAGCUGCUGGACGUUUUACAUUCAUCCGCUCUCUGUGACUGAUCGUCGCGAUUUUCUUUUGCACACAGCUCACGGAUUUCCUUGACCGCCGCCCUCUCUCUCCUUAUCUAUUCACUGUCGUACCCAGAUUUUUUUCUGCGCGUUGCUUAUCUCCUGGCCGCCCCUGUCUGAUUUUUGCCGCCGCUCUGGCUCUGGGAUAAAAUCUCGCUGCCCAGGCUGUCUUCUUUCUUCCCCGCGCGGCAGCUUCCCAGCUCCCUAGCGCUUCUUCCCGUGCAGCUCGCCCAGCCCCAGCGCCGUUAUUUCUCCCUCCAUCUCUCCUGCGCGUGCUCAGAUCCUAGCGCCGCGCUCCUUUCUCCCAUGCUGCGCGCCGCUCGCUCUGCUCCCUGCACGCCGCGGUUGCCUAGCUCGCGGAGGCUGCUGGGUCCGACCCCGCCAUGAGUUCCCUGGUGCCGCGUCCGGCUCCCUGCUCAGCACGCCGCGCCGUCACCUGGAGUCCCUACGCGCUCCCUCUCUGCCCGACCAUGGAACUCGUCGCGCUCGGUCCUGUCUAUCUCCGUCACUUGCGUCAGCUCGCCAGACCUACAGCUCCAUAACCUACAGCUCCAUAUAUGUCACUCUCCCGUAUCGUCAUCGAGGCCGGUGAACCACGUUCUUCUCUGCUCGAUCUCGUCGAACCACGAAUCCCGAACUUUAGACAAAAAUAAGCGAGGUCCCUGUGCAUCGCUUAUCAAGUACUCGGUCGAAGACUUCAAUCGAAGAUCGUCGUCAUUCCGUGCGUCAUCAAGGAAUCCUAAGGAUCGGAUGAAGACGAAGCUAGCAGCGCGAUAUUCCCCAAGCGCUCGACAAAUUGUCUGGAUCGGAAAAUCGCUACCGAUCUCGUGGAUUCGUGUCAGCUGUGGAAACG
rnacentral:lncRNA from 1 species